UUGCAAGAUAAGCUAAAUAAGCUAUCGGGCUCAUACCCCGCCUAUGAAACACUCUAUUUCUCUUGUA
rnacentral:tRNA from 1 species